rnacentral:rRNA from 1 species
UAGUUAAAUAACAAAACUACUCGCCAGAGAACUACUAGCCACUGCUUAAAACUCAAAGGACUUGGCGGUGCCCUAGACCCUCCUAGAGGAGCCUGUUCUAUAAUCGAUAAACCACGAUACACCUCACCCCUUCUAGCUUUACAGUCUAUAUACCGCCAUCGUCAGCUCACCCCAAUAGGGCUCAAAAGUGAGCAAGAUCAUUAAACCAUAAAAACGUUAGGUCAAGGUGUAGCAUAUGAAGGGGGAAGCAAUGGGCUACAUUUUCUACAAUAGAACAUAACGAAUUGUCUAUUGAAACAUAGACAUGAAGGAGGAUUUAGUAGUAAAUUAAGAAUAGAGAGCUUAAUUGAAAUAGGUAAUAGGGUGCGUACACACCGCCCGUCACCCUCCUCAAUAGCAAUAGGGUGCGUACACACCGCCCGUCACCCUCCUCAAUAAAGUAACCUUCCAUA